rnacentral:rRNA from 1 species
GAUGAACGCUGGCGGCGUGCCUAAUACAUGCAAGUCGAGCGAACGGACGAGAAGCUUGCUUCUCUGAUGUUAGCGGCGGACGGGUGAGUAACACGUGGAUAACCUACCUAUAAGACUGGGAUAACUUCGGGAAACCGGAGCUAAUACCGGAUGAUAUUUUGAACCGCAUGGUUCAAAAGUGAAAGACGGUCUUGCUGUCACUUAUAGAUGUAUCCGCGCUGCAUUAGCUAGUUGGUAAGGUAACGGCUUACCAAGGCAACGAUGCAUAGCCGACCUGAGAGGGUGAUCGGCCACACUGGAACGGAGACACGGUCCAGACUCCUACGGGAGGCAGCAGUAGGGAAUCUUCCGCAAUGGGCGAAAGCCUGACGGAGCAGCGCCGCGUGAGUGAUGAAGGUCUUCGGAUCGUAAAACUCUGUUAUUAGGGAAGAACAUAUGUGUAAGUAAGUGUGCACAUCUUGACGGUACCUAAUCAGAAAGCCACGGCUAACUACGUG